AUACGGAGGGUGCAAGCGUUAAUCGGAAUUACUGGGCGUAAAGAGUACGUAGGUGGUUUGUUAAGUCAGAUGUGAAAGCCCCGGGCUCAACCUGGGAACUGCAUUUGAAACUGGCAAACUAGAGUAUGGUAGAGGGGGGUAGAAUUUCUAGUGUAGCGAUGAAAUGCGUAGAUAUUAGAAGGAAUACCAGUGGCGAAGGCGGCCCCCUGGACCAAUACUGACACUGCGGUACGAAAGCGUGGGUAGCGAACAGGAUUAGAUACCCUAGUAGUCC
rnacentral:rRNA from 1 species